UGAACGCCUUCCUAGCGGCAGCUGACCACCUGGGAGAUGUUUGGUCACGUCUCCAGCCUGAUGUUUGCACAUGAGGGCUUGCCCUGCUGUCCUGGUUCUCUGUAUGUUGAAGAGAGUCCCUCUGAGAACCAGGUGAGGCGGAAAGAAAACACAGCACAACAAAGCACGAUGUACGCUCCAGGGAAUCUGACGCCACCUUCUGGCCUCCACAGGCACUGCAUGCAUGUGGUACACAUGCACAACAAAAUAAAGAGUUCAAUUUGUGCUGGCUAAAUACUCAGGGUUGUGGGGCCACCCACUGGAGCAUGGUCAGCCAACAGGAGCAUAUCCUUAAAGAAAACUCUCC